UGAGGUCGGAUUUUUCUGCCUCUAGGAAGGAUGAUUAUCACAAGCAUUAAUAUCUACAAAGAAGUCUGGGCUGAGAUGAAGAGUUGGCAAACCUGCUUUACUUACCAGAGCCAAUGGGUAUUAUGUAACCAAGGUCCCCAGGAGAGAGGGAAGACAACUGCUAACGAGAAACAAUCAGAACGCAGUACCCCGGUGGAAUAAAAAAAGCUUACACGUCUAUUGAAUGCUACAGAAGGGACAUAAAGGAGUGGCUGACUGCAGAG